CCCCUCUCAGGAUCACACCUGGAGAGUUCCCAGUACUGUACCAGUCUCGAUUGAAGGAGGGAGAUCAGGCAGAGGCCUAUCCAUUCCAUUCCUAGCUUGGGCAGCGGCUAGUGAGUGGAAGGCAAUCUGCUACAAGU